rnacentral:rRNA from 1 species
UACGUAGGGUGCAAGCGUUGUCCGGAAUUAUUGGGCGUAAAGAGCUCGUAGGCGGUCUGUCGCGUCGGCUGUGAAAACCUGGGGCUCAACCCAGGCCUGCAGUCGAUACGGGCAGACUAGAGUCCGGCAGGGGAGACUGGAAUUCCUGGUGUAGCGGUGAAAUGGCGCAGAUAUCAGGAGGAACACCGGUGGCGAAGGCGGGUCUCUGGGCCGGAACUGGCGCUGAGGAGCGAAAGCGUGGGAGCGAACAGG